GUAGAAGAUCUAAAUACCCUACAUGCACCACAUCUUGUCUGAUCUUAGAAGCUAAGCAGGGUCAGCCCUGGGUAGUACUUGGAUGGGCGCCCACCAAAGAAUAUCAUGUGCUGUGGGUU
rnacentral:rRNA from 1 species